UACGUAGGGUGCAAGCGUUAAUCGGAAUUACUGGGCGUAAAGCGUGCGCAGGCGGUUGUGCAAGACCGAUGUGAAAUCCCCGGGCUUAACCUGGGAAUGGCAUUGGUGACUGCACGGCUAGAGUGUGUCAGAGGGGGGUAGAACUCCACGUGUAGCAGUGAAAUGCGUAGAGAUGUGGAGGAAUACCGAUGGCGAAGGCAGCCCCCUGGGAUAACACUGACGCUCAUGCACGAAAGCGUGGGGAGCAAACAGG
rnacentral:rRNA from 1 species